ACCUGGCUGGCUCAGUUGGUGGAGCAUGUGACUCUUGAUCUAGCGGUUGUGAGUUCGAGCCCCAUGUUGGGUG
rnacentral:tRNA from 1 species